rnacentral:rRNA from 1 species
GACGUAGGGGGCCAGCGUUGUUCGGAAUUACUGGGUGUAAAGGGUUCGUAGGCGGGUGCGGCAAGUUGGGAGUGAAAUCUCUGGGCUUAACCCAGAGGCUGCUUCCAAAACUGCUGUGCUUGAGUGUGGGAGAGGCGCGUGGAAUUGCAGGUGUAGCGGUGAAAUGCGUAGAUAUCUGCAGGAACACCCGUGGCGAAAGCGGCGCGCUGGACCACUACUGACGCUGGAGGAACGAAAGCUAGGGGAGCAA